CGGAGCUAACGCGUUAAGUCGACCGCCUGGGGAGUACGGCCGCAAGGUUAAAACUCAAAUGAAUUGACGGGGGCCCGCACAAGCGGUGGAGCAUGUGGUUUAAUUCGAUGCAACGCGAAGAACCUUACCUGGCCUUGACAUCCACGGAAUUUGGCAGAGAUGCCUUAGUGCCUUCGGGAACCGUGAGACAGGUGCUGCAUGGCUGUCGUCAGCUCGUGUUGUGAAAUGUUGGGUUAAGUCCCGCAACGAGCGCAACCCUUAUCCUUUGUUGCCAGCACGUGAUGGUGGGAACUCAAAGGAGACUGCCGGUGAUAAACCGGAGGAAGGUGGGGAUGACGUCAAGUCAUCAUGGCCCUUACGUCCGGGGCUACACACGUGCUACAAUGGACGGUACAGAGGGCAGCUAUACAGCAAUGUAGUGCGAAUCUCAAAAAGCCGUUCACAGUUCGGAUUGGGGUCUGCAACUCGACCC
rnacentral:rRNA from 1 species